UUUAAAUUGUAAAGACAUGCAAAACCUAACGGGCAGGAUUUUUUCAAAAAUAAUGAAAUUAAUCAUAAUCAGUUUAGGUGACAAAAAAUUAAAGUAAAAAAAAAAAAAUUGUAAUUUUUUUUAACGAUUUACAAUGCUUUUUUUUUUGCUUUA